rnacentral:lncRNA from 1 species
UUGUCCAGAAGCCCCAGAGGGAUCCAAGUAACUGGCUGCCCAGGCUAGCUACAAUUCAGAGGUUCAUGCAGGUCCAGUCUGUCCUGAGCCUCUAUCUAAAGUCCUUGCACCCUCAGAUUCAGUGUAGGAUCAAGGCCAAGAGUACUAGAAUGUGCAUGUGCUGGUGCUGAAGGCAAGCACCUGGAAAUAUUCAUCUCAUUCAUCAUCUGCCAGAGGAAGAUUCCAGAGUCUUGCACAUAUUUGCAAGGUCAUUUUUUCAAAUCUUGGAGAAUGGGUUAAAAAAAUGACCCAAGAACUUGAUGUAGCUCUUCUGAAUUCUGAAGUCUUGUUCAAUUCAUGUGGCUUUUAUAAAGGAAAAGUACUCACUUUUCUCAUCCUUCUCAUCUCCUUUGCAUAUAACUGCCUCACUCAAGGGCUGAGAUAUCAAACAGUUAAGAUCAAAAGAGGACACUUCUUUUUUUAAAAAUAACCAUGUCCUGACACAAGAUUAGCAAUCAAAUAAAUUCCACAGUCCUCUUAUUCACUAAUUUGCCAGCAUCACUCUCAGACAGGGUAUGCUAAACUUGGUGAGGCAAUCUAUGAUAAUCAGGUCAAGACUUAUGACACAAGCCAUGUGUCCUGCUUCUAGAAACAUCAGAGGGUAUUAGGGAAGCUUCCAUUGAGGAGGUGAUAUCCGAUCAGGUUGGGGAAUACUCUGAAAUCCAAUCUCCGAAAGAUUCCCAGUCAGGGCAAGAUGAGUUUGUGGAAAUCCUGGUAUUUCAGAGUCUUGGAAGCCUCUUUCUGGAGGCUGAGAAGUCCAAGAUCGAGGGACUGCAUCUGGUGAAGG